rnacentral:rRNA from 1 species
AAGUCGAACGAAGUAGCAAUACUUAGUGGCAGACGGGUGAGUAACAUGUAGGUAUCUGCCCUUUGGCCUGGAAUAACACGAGGAAACUUGUGCUAAUACCGGAUAAGUCUUUACGGAGAAAGCUUUAUGCACCAUUGGAUGAGCCUGCACUUGAUUAGUUUGUUGGUGGGGUAAUGGCCUACCAAGACUGUGAUCAAUAGCUGAUUUGAGAGGAUGAUCAGCCACAUUGGGACUGAGACACGGCUCAAACUCCUACGGGAGGCAGCAGUGGGGAAUCUUGCACAAUGGAGGAAACUCUGAUGCAGCGAUGCCGCGUGAGUGAAGAAGGCCCUUGGGUUGUAAAGCUCUUUCGUCGGGGAAGAAAAUGACUGUACCCGAAUAAGAAGGUCCGGCUAACUUCGUGCCAGCAGCCGCGGUAAUACGAAGGGACCUAGCGUAGUUCGGAAUUACUGGGCUUAAAGAGUUCGUAGGUGGUUGAAAAAGUUAGUGGUGAAAUCCCAGAGCUUAACUCUGGAACUGCCAUUAAAACUUUUCAGCUAGAGUAUGAUAGAGGAAAGCAGAAUUUCUAGUGUAGAGGUGAAAUUCGUAGAUAUUAGAAAGAAUACCAAUUGCGAAGGCAGCUUUCUGGAUCAUUACUGACACUGAGGAACGAAAGCAUGGGUAGCGAAGAGGAUUAGAUACCCUCGUAGUCCAUGCCGUAAACGAUGUGUGUUAGACGUUGGAAAUUUAUUUUCAGUGUCGCAGGGAAACCGAUAAACACACCGCCUGGGGAGUACGACCGCAAGGUUAAAACUCAAAUGAAUUGACGGGGACCCGCACAAGUAGUG